GACGAACGCUGGCGGCGUGCCUAAUACAUGCAAGUAGAACGCUGAAGGAGGAGCUUGCUUCUCUGGAUGAGUUGCGAACGGGUGAGUAACGCGUAGGUAACCUGCCUGGUAGCGGGGGAUAACUAUUGGAAACGAUAGCUAAUACCGCAUAAGAGUAGAUGUUGCAUGACAUUUGCUUAAAAGGUGCAAUUGCAUCACUACCAGAUGGACCUGCGUUGUAUUAGCUAGUUGGUGAGGUAACGGCUCACCAAGGCAACGAUACAUAGCCGACCUGAGAGGGUGAUCGGACACACUGGGACUGAGACACGGCCCAGACUCCUACGGGAGGCAGCAGUAGGGAAUCUUCGGCAAUGGACGGAAGUCUGACCGAGCAACGCCGCGUGAGUGAAGAAGGUUUUCGGAUCGUAAAGCUCUGUUGUAAGAGAAGAACGAGUGUGAGAGUGGAAAGUUCACACUGUGACGGUAUCUGACCAGAAAGGGACGGCUAACUACGUG
rnacentral:rRNA from 1 species